rnacentral:rRNA from 1 species
UACGGAGGGUGCGAGCGUUGUCCGGAAUCACUGGGCGUAAAGGGCGCGUAGGCGGCCCGUCAAGCGUGUGGUGAAAGCCCGGGGCUCAACCCCGGGUCGGCCGUGCGGACUGGCGGGCUCGAGCACUGUAGGGGCGGGUGGAAUUCCGGGUGUAGCGGUGGAAUGCGUAGAGAUCCGGAAGAACACCGGUGGCGAAGGCGGCCCGCUGGGCAGGAAGGCCCCCUCACGGGGGCCGGCUGACGCUGAGGCGCGACAGCGUGGGGAGCAACAGG